AACGAACGCUGGCGGCAUGCCUAACACAUGCAAGUCGAACGAGACCUUCGGGUCUAGUGGCGCACGGGUGCGUAACGCGUGGGAACCUGCCCUUAGGUUCGGAAUAACUCCCCGAAAGGGGUGCUAAUACCGGAUAAUGUCUUCGGACCAAAGAUUUAUCGCCUUUGGAUGGGCCCGCGUUGGAUUAGCUAGUUGGUAGGGUACAAGCCUACCAAGGCGACGAUCCAUAGCUGGUCUGAGAGGAUGAUCAGCCACACUGGGACUGAGACACGGCCCAGACUCCUACGGGAGGCAGCAGUGGGGAAUAUUGGACAAUGGGCGAAAGCCUGAUCCAGCAAUGCCGCGUGAGUGAUGAAGGCCUUAGGGUUGUAAAGCUCUUUUACCCGGGAUGAUAAUGACAGUACCGGGAGAAUAAGCUCCGGCUAACUCCGUG
rnacentral:rRNA from 1 species